AGAAAGGGCCUCCUCAUUCAUAUCAAUGAUUGCGGCCAUUGCGAGUGUACCCAUAGGCUAGGUUGAAGAUAACAGAGGUUAGGAUAGCUUAAUAAUUAAAUGCAAAAGCAUUCUAAAAUAAACAAAUUCAUUGCACCAGCGCCUGAAUGAAAAUGACUGAGAGAGAAUGGUAGCAGUACAGAAAGUUCACCUUCAAAGUGGAAAAUAAAUACAACGGAGGUGAAUUUCAGACUAUUACUCAGCAAACAAAUAGAUGAACUGUUUUACUGUCAUUUUAUUCAAGUUGUCUACAGCCACUUUAUAACAUGAUUUCCCGACCGCUGGUCAUGUUUUCAAUGCUAAUCCUAUAACCGAAAGGUUGGUAGAUCAAAUUCCCGAGGUGACAAGGUAAAAAUCUGUCGUUCUGCCCCUGAACAAGGCAGUUAACCCACUGUUCCUAGGCCGUCAUUGUGAAUUUGUUCUUAACUGACUUACCUAGUUAAAUAAAGGUUCAAUAAAAAAACAUUUCAAUUAACAUUCUUGGAAAUAAUUACCUUGGAAAUAAUUACCUUGGAAAUAAUUACCUUGGAAAUAAUUACCUUGGAAAUAAUUACCUUGGAAAUAAUUACCUUGGAAAUAAUUGCAUCACAAUACCAGGCAGCCUUUGCGAGUGUACCCAUGAGUUUAGAGGUUCCAAGCCCGUUCUGUUCAUUCUAUUUCUAUGGGGUAUCCUGCCCUCUCUUGGCUUAAUUGCACGUUUUACGACCCAGUCUUAUCUGGCUCGCCCACGCCACACAUGAUGGACUCUGGUCUCUGUCAAAGGUUGCAAGACAGAAGAAAAGAUGUGGACAUAAAAGACCUUGACUUCAUUACCAUAAUCAGAUCAGAAACCUCCAUCAUUCUGUUGAUUCUGUUUUGGAACAAUGAUUCUUCAUUCGUCACUUAACUUAAUUUCUCUCAUGGAGAAAGGAAUAACCCCUGCCAUAUGUAUCACAAAACAAAGUGUGGGCAUGAGAGACCUUGACAUCAUUACCAUAAACAGAUCACCAACCACAAUUAUUCUGCUGUCUUUUUAGAAAUUAUAAUUAGUUUAGCAGCCUCAGAAUGGCCCAAUAUGUUCCCUAUCAAAUCGAAUCUGUGGUAAGCCACGGUCCGUGAGGGAUUCAGAUGCUGCCUGUGUAAGAGAGUGAUGUCAUCCAGGUGGGACGGAGCGGAGUGUGGUUGAGACUUAUCUCGCUGUCGGCUUCCCCGCCGCACUCAGCAAACACAGAAAGAGACAUGAAAGCAAAGCCCUGGGCUGGACUUCGACAUCCCAUGCCAUUUCAUCCAAUGGGCCUCUCAUAGCAGACACACCCUAGCAAAUAGGGAGAGGGAGGGAGCGUUGCUGAAUGUCCUUUAACAGUGUUGUAGAAAGAGAAUAGGUGUUAAGCAAAUGUUUUCUUUAUUUUAUUGUUAUAUAACAUUAUUAAAACAAUUUGGGCACGUCAGCUAAAUGUCAAUAGUUGUGUUUUACUUAUUUACUUAUUUAACUGAAUUCUGUCAUAUCUGUCUGGAUUGCAUGUUUGUCAGGAUUAGAGAGAGAGAGAGAGAGAGAGAGAGAGAGAGAGAGAGAGAGAUGUGAUAGCCGACAACUGCAUAGCAGAUCUGUUUUUAUUUGGGCCAUGACAAAGGUGUAACAUCGUUGGAGCUGUCAAAUCAGUAAAACCAAUGAUCAGCUAUGCAGUUGUGGGUUAUCGGGGGUUAACGCUGAACUGAAUCAAGGCCAGAGAGACAGAGAUGAAAUGGAGAACAGAAUAUGAGAAUAAAAUGAACAUAUCAAGAACAGCUCUUUGAUCUUUCUAUUCACUUUGAUUACAGCCCAUGUGGACUGUGUAGGGCGCACUGCAGAGUUCCUGGUGUAUUUUAAAGACGGGAAGACAAAAUAUACAUUGAAUCUACUCACGGAUCCAAGCGUUCAGAACAUUCUUAUCUACCUCAUGGUUUGUGAAUUGCUAGCAGUACUAUAACCCUCAUUUUUUCAAUGAAGAAGCAUUAUCAUUCACAAUGUAAUCUUGCCCAGUAAAACGGUUAUUAUCCACCAUACAGAGACGUUCUCCCAAUACCAAUUAGUGUUCCAAAAAAACAGCAUGGUUACAGUAUACAAAAGCAAAGUUCAGUCUAUUGUUUAAGAUCCGGCAAGGUGUUUCGGGGCCAGUUCUCAGGUUGGGUAAGGUG
ensembl:lncRNA